rnacentral:lncRNA from 1 species
GAUUUGUUGAUGUUAUUGAUCCAAAGGGCCGUUGGGGCUUGAUCUUAGGAUGAAAAAUUAUGUGGAUUUAUUGAUGUUGUUGAUCCAAAGGGCCGUUGGGGCUUGAUCUUAGGAUGAACAGUUAUGUGGAUUUGGUGAUGUUGUUGAUCCAAAAGGGCCGUCGGGGCUUGAUCUUAGGAUGAACAAUUGUGUGGAUUUGUUGAUGUUGUUGAUCCAAAGGGCCGUUGGGGCUUGAUCUUAGGAUGAACAGUUAUGUGGAUUUGGUGAUGUUGUUGAUCCAAAAGGGC